rnacentral:rRNA from 1 species
AUUGAACGCUGGCGGCAGGCUUAGCACAUGCAAGUCGAGCGGGGAAAGGUAGCUUGCUACCUGACCUAGCGGCGGACGGGUGAGUAAUGCUUAGGAAUCUGCCUAUUAGUGGGGGACAACAUCUCGAAAGGGAUGCUAAUACCGCAUACGUCCUACGGGAGAAAGCAGGGGACCUUCGGGCCUUGCGCUAAUAGAUGAGCCUAAGUCGGAUUAGCGAGUUGGUGGGGUAAAGGCCUACCAAGGCGACGAUCUGUAGCGGGUCUGAGAGGAUGGUCCGCCACACUGGGACUGAGACACGGCCCAGACCCCUACGGGAGGCAGCAGUGGGGAAUAUUGGACAAUGGGGGGAGCCCUGAUCCAGCCAUGCCGCGUGUGUGAAGAAGGCCUUUUGGUUGUAAAGCACUUUAAGCGAGGAGGAGGCUACCGAGAUUAAUACUCUUGGAUAGUGGACGUUACUCGCAGAAUAAGCACCGGCUAACUCUGUGCCAGCAGCCGCGGUAAGAC